rnacentral:lncRNA from 1 species
UGCUUUACAAGAAGCGACUGCCUAUCUGACCUCCUCAACCCAGUUACCCGGGCAACCCGAUACCCCUUGGUUAGACUGUUGUCAGACUUACUGGCUUCUGACUACCCGUAACGACUGCCAAAGAUGUUCAAAUGACAGCCGGGACCUACAGUUUAUCGUGC